UGAUGCCUGGUGUGGCUGGCAUGGAGAAGAUCCUGUAAAGAAGAGAAUUCAUUUAUUCAUUUUUUCAUUCAGUACAUAUUUGUUGAGAUCUGCCUGGCAUUUUUGUAGGUAUUGGGGAUAUAGCAGUGAGCAAAACAAAGUCCUUGCCCUCCUGCAGUUGGGGGCUAGGGAGAGGCAGAAAAAAAGUCAGUCAGUCUAAUUGAUAGUGAUUAGUUGGUAUGUAAGUGAGGAGGAGGAGGGUUACAGUUCUAGAGGGAGAUGCUUGUUUGGAAGGUGAGGGAGUGAGUCAGGCAAGUAUCUGGAGAGAGUCCCCAAGCGAGGGUGUACAGCAAGUGCAAAGACUGGAAAGUGGGACGGGUUGGUCUGUUCCAGAACCAGCAUGGAGGCCGGUGUGGCUGGAGAACACUGAGCGAGGGGAGCUUAGUAGGAGGUGCAGCCAGCUCUGUGGAGGGUCUCCCAGGCCAUGGCGAGGAUGUCUACCCUGAGGUAGUAGCUAGCGCAGGAGUGUGAGAAGUGGGGAGAUCUGACGUAAGCUGUAACUUGAUCACUUUGGCAGUGGGAACCAGUUGAGAAUCAGCUGAAAGGAGGACGGGUGAGGAGGGAAGCGGGGAGACCAAUGAGAAGCUUUUACAAUAAUCUGGGCAAAAUGAAGGCGGCUAGACUGGGGUGGAGGCAGGAGAGGCUGUGACAAGUUGGAUUCUGGGUAUAUUUUGAAGGUAAGAGUUAAUAAGAGUUGCUAAUGGAUCGGAUACAGGUUGUGAGAGGGACAAGUCAAGAAUGAUACCAAGGUUUUGGCCUCCGGCUUGAACAACUGGAAGAAUAGAGUUGCUGUUAGCUGAGAUGAGAAGACUGUAAAAGGAGCAGGGUUUAGGACAAAGUAAGUUUGAGGUGGGUGUUAGGCAGACACCUGGGGCUGUUGAGAAGAUGGUUCUUUUAUAGGAAAAGUCUCUGAUGGAGAUAAAAAUCUGAGAGUCAUCAGUGAAUUGAUGGUAUUUAAAACCACAGGACCAGAUGCAACAAAAUGGGUGUAGAUAGACAAGACAGGAGGCCCCAGACUGAGCCCAGGGCAGUCUGGAGGUUGGUGAGCUGAGGGACCAGCACAGGACACUGAGAAGAACCAGCAAGGACUAACAGUUGCAACUUAGUGUGGGAUUGCUCUUGGAAAAAAAACAGCAGGGGCCAUUCUGAUGGGAGCCAAACGGACAGCAGAGGUUGGGGGAUGCUUUGGAUUUGCCAGCACUUGGCCACGGCUCAACCUAGUCUCAGUUCACAAAUGAUUCAAGCCCUGAGCAAGCCAUCAGUUGGAACUGAGCAUCAACUGCCCCCUGAGAUGAUGGAUGCGUGGAUCAUCACAGCCCACCCUUCACUCACGUCACCUGUGUGGCCCUGAAGCUUGCUCUUACUGGGUGCUGAGACAUCACUCCGAGUUUUCCA